GAUGAAGAACGCAGCGAAAUGCGAUAAGUAAUGUGAAUUGCAGAAUUCAGUGAAUCAUCGAAUCUUUGAACGCACAUUGCGCCCGCCAGUAUUCUGGCGGGCAUGCCUGUUCGAGCGUCAUUACAACCCUCAGGCCCCCGGGCCUGGCGUUGGGGAUCGGCGGAAGCCCCCUGUGGGCACACGCCGUCCCUCAAAUACAGUGGCGGUCCCGCCGCAGCUUCCAUUGCGUAGUAGCUAACACCUCGCAGCUGGAGAGCGGCGCGGCCAUGCCGUAAAACACCCAACUUCUGAAUGUUGACCUCGAAUCAGGUAGGAAUACCCGCUGAACUUAAGCAUAUCAAUAAGCGGAGGA
rnacentral:misc_RNA from 1 species